rnacentral:rRNA from 1 species
AUACGAAGGGGGCUAGCGUUGUUCGGAAUUACUGGGCGUAAAGCGCAUGUAGGCGGACAUUUAAGUCAGGGGUGAAAUCCCGGGGCUCAACCUCGGAACUGCCUUUGAUACUGGGUGUCUAGAGUGUGGAAGAGGUAAGUGGAAUUCCGAGUGUAGAGGUGAAAUUCGUAGAUAUUCGGAGGAACACCAGUGGCGAAGGCAGCUGACUAAGCUAUAACUGACGCUCAUGCACGAAAGCGUGGGGAUC